UACGGAGGGGGCUAGCGUUGUUCGGAAUUACUGGGCGUAAAGCGCGCGCAGGCGGCCUUUUAAGUCUCGUGGUGAAAUGCCGGGGCUCAACCCCGUGCCCGCCGGAGAUACUGGGAGGCUGGAGACAUGUAGAGGCAAGCGGAAUUCCAGGUGUAGCGGUGGAAUGCGUAGAGAUCCGGAAGAACACCGGAGGCGAAGGCGGCUUGCUGGGCAUUGUCUGACGCUGAGGCGCGAAAGCGUGGGGAGCGAACAGG
rnacentral:rRNA from 1 species